CAGGUGGGCUACUUACUAUAGGGAGCUUCAGUCCCCGUUGGUCUGGCCAGCUGCUUGUGCUCACACACCUUAUGUUUCCAGUGAGAGCAUUUCCAGCACUUAGAAUGCAGUUUGUUUCCCCUCUCUGCCCCCCACUUUGGAGCCCUGGGUGUAUUUUAAUGUGAGUUCUUUAUUGACAGCAUCUCAUUUGAUUCUUUUCAGCCACCCUGUGAGCUUGCCUUCUCUUACCCGUUGUUCCAGUUAACUGACAACCUGACACAGACUGGAGUCACCUUAGGAGGGAGUCUUAACGGGGAAGAUUGCCUAAAUCAGACUGCCCUGUGGGCGUGUCUUGGGGGAGUGGAUUGUCUUGAUUGUGGUAGACAUAGGAAGACUCAGCCCACUGUGGGCGGCUCCAUUCCCUUGGCAGGUGGUGCUGAGAAGUAGAGUUGGCUGCGGUGAGCCUGUGAGAAAGUUAGAGAGCCGGCCAGCAGCAGUAAUUUUCCAUGGUUUCUACCUCACAUUCCUCCUUGAGUUCCCACCCAGAUUCCCUUCAGUGAUGAACCUCAGUGGCUUGAGAUGAGCCAAAUAAACCCUUUCCUCCCCCCAAGUUGCUUUCUGUCACAGUGCUUCAUUGCCGCAAGAGAAAAGCAAGCAAGAACAGGCAUGUGACAGCUACAGGAAAUAGAGGUAGAGGUGGAGGCUGCAUAGUACCAUAACCCACUGUUUCUGCCUUGUUAUUAGGCGUUCUGUAUGGGAUCCUGCCUUGCUAGCAGACUCAUAGCCUCCAGCUGCUGGUAAACCAAUGGAAGGCAGACUGUAAUUACUGCUUGCUUCAGUGAAGGGGUAGGACCAUCCCUUCACCCCAUGGAGAUAGUGUGAGCAGACACUGGCAUCUGGGGGCCUCCUCCCAGGGCUACCCUUUUGAUUAUUCCUUGAUUGAUUGAUUCAACCAUUAUUUUCUGGUUGCUAAGUGGUACCCUCUAGCAUUCCUGACCUCAGGAGACUCAGAGUGAAACUGAGGAGGGUAAGAGUACCUGUUAACAGCAGCAAAACUAAGAACACAAGCAGGUCACACAAAUCCAGACCCUAUGCCAUGUCACAUGUCCUGGAUCCCCGAGUCCUCCCUUUCAGCACUCACCGAUGGGCUUACUCUAAGUGUUUCAAGCCCAGCAAGAGCCCAGAAUGCAAUGUUCCAAACACAAGCAAGAGAGGCCUCCUUUCUGUGUUCCUAGAGGUGAACUUCUAUUUUUAUGAGCUAAGUCUGUAAUCCUGGAAGGGCUAGCCUGUGAUACAAGCCUUUCUAUAAAAGGAGGGCUUACAGACAAGGGGUCCACUUCUCCCUGAGGAAUGUUGAGAAGAAUCUUAAGAACACGAGGGCAAGCGCCUUGCGAGUUUCCCAUUAAUGAACGUCAUCUGCUCUCAGGUUACCCAGCAGAACUCUUGGAUGAAUAUCAAUGUUUUGAUCCCCCUUUAAAGAAAGUAACCACAGCUAUCCCAGGGAUGAAUUCCAACAUAGCCCGUGGCGGCCAUCGGAGCGGGAGCUGAUCAGACCGUUGGUUAUCUUCCCACACAUCUGCCUGAGAUAGAGACUUGUAAGCAAAUGAACAGUUCGUGGCAACCAAGAAGCGACUCAAACCUGUAUUUUCAACGUCUCUGUUAACAUGGGAAGAUACAAGUUUUGCCUUGUAGGCUGAUGGUACUUUCAAACUUGAUGGCGUGUUUCAUCAGAAAGAGACCAGCACAGUCAUACAAAGAGGUUGGGCUACCAUCGCUCGUGGUGUGGAAGGAAAGGCUACUAGACUAAAGAUGAAAAGCCAAGUGCAGGUCUCUACUUGGGCUGACAGCAUCUACAAUGGCCUUUGUGUACCUCAGCACUGACCCAUAGAUGGUCACCAACAGGACCUGGGUAGAGGGACAAAGCCACCAUGGAGUACAUCCCCACUACAUCACGAGUCUGAAGCAGGCGUAACAUGAACAGUGGGCUCAGGCCCAUUGGCAUCUUCAUGUUCAUGGAUGGCAUCCCCAGAAACAGAUCCUCAGGGACAUACUGUGGCUGCAAAUGCCACAGUGUGACUGCAAAGCCUGCUCGUGACUUUCUGAGGAACUGUGUUAACGAAGUCACAGUGGGUGAUCUGAUCAAUGUGAACAAGUCACACCUAAGGGCCUGCUCAGGUGACAAACACGUUGAUCUUGUCACGGGGUGAGAUCAGUCUCUCAAGAUUUUAAAUAAUGGGGAAAUUGAGAAAUAGGUUGUUCAAGUUGAAAAAGAAAAGGAAGAAUCAAAGACCAUUGUGAUGAGGUAAAACUUGGGUUGAAGCAGCUUUUAAGCUGCACCACAGUGAGUCUCAGUGGCAUGCUGGUCUCCCUCCAGCCAUGCAACCACCCUCAAAGUACCCAACAAACAGCUGUAAUUUUUAACCUUUAAAAACGACUUCCGUGAUUGGUCUCAAAUCGUGACAACUCAGCAGUCAAUGUGAUAAAAUCUAGAAUGAUGUGGGAGAUGAGCUGCUGGGCAUUGCAAAGAUUUUGGUUAGAUUAACUGUCCAGGGAAGACCUCCCACUGUGGGUAGCACCAUUCCCUGGGCUGGGAUCUAGUCAGCUGAACUUAAGCAUUCGUUGUUUUCUGCUUUCUGCUUGUGAAUGCAAGUGACCAGCCAGUUCAGGCUCUGACCACCCAAAUUCAGGUUCCCCUCACCCCCAAAGCCAAGAUGAAUGACCCUUGAGCUAUGAACCAAUACAUGCCCUUCCUUUCUUAAAAUUGCUUUUAUCACAGCAACAAGUCACACUUCUCCUUUCUCUCAGCGAUUUUAUGUUGGGCUUUAUUUGAAAAAUAGAAGUUAUUCUUUAUACCUAAAGAGCCUAAAAGUUCAAAAAGUGAUCUCUCUCUCUCUCUCUCUCUCUCUCUCUCUGUGUGUGUGUGUGUGUGUGUCUUUGUCUCUCUCCUCUCUCUGUCUCUG
ensembl:lncRNA